GACGAACGCUGGCGGCGUGCUUAACACAUGCAAGUCGAACGGAAAGGCCCUUCUUUGGUUGGGUGCGCGGGUGGCGAACGGGUAAGUAGCGCGUGAGUUACCUUCCCUUGACGGUGAGAUAACUGCAGGAAACUGUGAUUAAUAACAGGUAUGCUCUCCUGCUGCAUGGGGGGGGUUAGCAAGUUUCGGCGGUUGGGGAUGGACUGGGGGCUUAUCAGCUUGUGGGUGGGGGGCUGGCUUACCAAGGCUUUGGGGGGUGGCCGGCCUGGGGGGGUGACCGGCACAAUUGGGACUGAGAUACGGCCCAGACCCCUCCGGGAGGAAGCAGUGGGAAAUUUGGAACAAUGGCCGGAAGCCUGAUGAAGCAACGCGGGGGGCGGGAUGACGGCCUUGGGUUUGUAAACCGCUUUAGCCUGUGACGAAGUGUGAGUGACGGUACUUGGUAAAGAAGCACCGGCUAACUACGUG
rnacentral:rRNA from 1 species